rnacentral:tRNA from 1 species
GAGCAACCGCCGGAUGAACGGACAUCAUUGAUGUUGAUGAAAUUAGAAUUAAAUAAAAUUCGUUGCUCU